rnacentral:rRNA from 1 species
AGCGAACGCUGGCGGCAGGCUUAACACAUGCAAGUCGAGCGGGCCUUUUGGGGUCAGCGGCGGACGGGUGAGUAACGCGUGGGAACGUGCCCUCUGGUUCGGAAUAACUCAGGGAAACUUGAGCUAAUACCGGAUACGCCCUUUUGGGGAAAGGCUUGCUGCCGGAGGAUCGGCCCGCGUCUGAUUAGCUAGUUGGUGAGGUAACGGCUCACCAAGGCGACGAUCAGUAGCUGGUCUGAGAGGAUGAUCAGCCACACUGGGACUGAGACACGGCCCAGACUCCUACGGGAGGCAGCAGUGGGGAAUAUUGGACAAUGGGCGCAAGCCUGAUCCAGCCAUGCCGCGUGAGUGAUGAAGGCCUUAGGGUUGUAAAGCUCUUUUAUCCGGGACGAUAAUGACGGUACCGGAGGAAUAAGCCCCGGCUAACUUCGUG